rnacentral:rRNA from 1 species
AUUGAACGCUGGCGGCAUGCUUUACACAUGCAAGUCGAACGGUAACAGGCCGCAAGGUGCUGACGAGUGGCGAACGGGUGAGUAAUGCAUCGGAACGUGCCCAGUCGUGGGGGAUAACUACUCGCAAGAGUAGCUAAUACCGCAUACGAUCUAUGGAUGAAAGCGGGGGACCGUAAGGCUUCGCGCGAUUGGAGCGGCCAAUGUCAGAUUAGGUAGUUGGUGGGGUAAAGGCUCACCAAGCCAACGAUUUGUAGCUGGUCUGAGAGGACGACCCGCCACACUGGGACUGAGACACGGCCCAGACUCCUACGGGAGGCAGCAGUGGGGAAUUUUGGACAAUGGGCGCAAGCCUGAUCCAGCAAUGCCGCGUGCAGGAAGAAGGCCUUCGGGUUGUAAACUGCUUUUGUACGGAACGAAACGGCUCUGGUUAAUACCCGGGGCUAAUGACGGUACCGUAAGAAUAAGCACCGGCUAACUACGUG